ensembl:lncRNA
CGAGUUUCCUGUAACUGGUGGGGAUGAAGGUGUUUGUUGUUCAUCAUGACCCAGGACCCAAGAGAGGCAGCCCUACAAGUGGCGCCGGGAAAAGGGAGAGAUGCAGAGGCGGAGAGAUGGAUCAGUCAGCGGAAAACACCUCACCCCUGCAGAUCCCUCCUCUCUCUCCUCCCUGCCCUGGAAAUCUGAGAUACUUAACCUUCACCCUGGAUUCUGAGUUUUCUCCCUGAAAUUCUCAGGAAACAGCCUGCCUACUCAUUCCUUUGAGGGACUGGAGAAUCCGGCAGAUUUGUGCACUGGUGGGAUUUCCAGCAAGUUGAAGGAUUCUGCAGCCUAGCCCUCAGCGCCAGCCUGUGACAAAUGUUUCUCCAUCUCAAACAAACAAACAAAACCCUGCUUUGGAGUCACUAGUUUCCUAUUCAGUUCUUUUAUUUCAAAUUGCAUGUUUCCCACUAGUGCAAUUAUAAAGACGG